rnacentral:lncRNA from 1 species
CUAACUAUGUGAAAUCAAUUAUCAAACUACAAAAUACCAAGGCUUACUACUUCUGUCUUAAUUCAACACAUAAUACAUUCUACGAAUAUCAAUUCAACAAUACUUCCAUUUUCUUAUCGGUUCAUCUCCCACUUACUCUCUUUGCGAUUUAUAUAUAUUCAAUUACUGAUUUCUAGCUUACUUAUUAUAUUCAGUUUUUCAAUUCAUCACACAGAAUUCAAUAUCUUUAUCUAACACAACACAAUUCGAUAAUCUCAAUUCUCAAGGUCAUAGAUUUUCUCCAAAACGAUCAGUCCAAAGUCAUAUUCCACAAUAUUCUAAUCACAGUUUCAACAAUACUUCUCUCAAUCACAAUUCUUCAUAAGCAAAUAAUAAAAGCAAAAAAAAUAAAGAGGUAGCACCAAGCUUACCCUGGCUUACAACUCUCACAGUCUGGCCCCGAUCUCUCUUUUUUCAACCUAUUUAUCCUAUCAAAAGAUAGACUGUCAGCCAGUAGAUUCUAAAGGUUAUGACCCUUUGUAUUCUUAAUUAUUUGUUCUACUUACAUCCUACUGUUAACAACUAAACUGCCUAAUCAUAAGUCUAAUUCUCAAGGUUAUCAAUAACCAACUAGUAACUUAUCACAAAAUUUAUUUAACUAUUUUACAUAACUCCACUCUUUUCUGUACAGCAUCCUCGCAAAUAUUAUUUAGCCUCAACUUAUAAAGAUGUAACAGCGUUGGCUUCUUCAGUUUAUGGCAUUGGCUUAUCAUCUUUUGAAUUGGUGACCUUCUCCUCUGCU